CUUUGACGGUGUUUCGAAAAUCGUAAUAUUAUUAUAUAUAUUUAUAAUAAUCCUAAUAUUUAAUAAACAAAAAACUGAAUGCACUGGUCAAUUUUGAGCACUUGUACUUAAAUGUCUCUAAAUUUACCAGAUAGUAUAAUACAAGUUUUUAGAAAGUUUUUAUUUGUAGAUACUACAAUUGAUACAAAUGUAUUGCCUGGCACGCAUAUUCAAGUUGAUAUUUUGCAGCAUAGUUCAAAAAAUGAUAAACAAUUAAAAACUUAUUCUCGUAAGAGGCUUCACGAAGAUGAGAUUGUCGGUGACCAACAUGAAAAAGUUAAACUUGUACGUCACAGUCCCAGUCCUCAAAGCACACAGACAGUUCUAAAGUUCACUGUAGAUUAUCCAGAUACUCCAUCUUCCACAAAAUCUAAUAUUAAAAAAAAAUCAAGAGUUUUAAGUGUUCAGUUAACUUUAAACGUUAACUAACAUUAAAAAAAAAAAAGUUUAAAGCUCAAAAAAAUAAGUAUUUACGCCUUAAAAAGAAAGCAAAUCUAGCGUCUAAAAACUUUUUGGCAAAUUUACUUAAAGGAAAAAGUACAGCUGUAAAAACACUAAUUAACAUGCAGUUAUCUCCAACGAGGAAAAAAGUUUGGACGACCAAUGAGCGACAUUUGGCACUUUCUCUUUAUUAUAAGUCUUAUUCUUAUUUAUCUUAUUAAAAGCUUAUUGAAUUUUU